UACGUAGGGGGCAAGCGUUGUCCGGAAUCAUUGGGCGUAAAGAGCGCGUAGGCGGCCCUGUAAGUCCGCUGUGAAAGUCAAGGGCUCAACCCUUGAAUGCCGGUGGAUACUGCAGGGCUAGAGUCCGGAAGAGGCGAGUGGAAUUCCUGGUGUAGCGGUGAAAUGCGCAGAUAUCAGGGGGAACACCGAUGGCGAAGGCAGCUCGCUGGGACGGUACUGACGCUGAGACGCGAAAGCGUGGGGAGCGAACAGG
rnacentral:rRNA from 1 species